rnacentral:rRNA from 1 species
ACAGUUUGAUCAUGGCUCAGGAUGAACGCUAGCGGGGGGCCUAACACAUGCAAGUCGAACGGGAUUGAGAGCUUGCUCUCAUGAGAGUGGCGCACGGGUGAGUAACGCGUAUGCAACCUACCUUUUACAGAGGAAUAGCCCAGAGAAAUUUGGAUUAAUACCUCAUAGUACUUUUAUUUGGCAUCAGAUUUAAAUUAAAACUCCGGUGGUUUGAGAUGGGCAUGCGUGACAUUAGCUAGUUGGUAAGGUAAUGGCUUACCAAGGCUACGAUGUCUAGGUGUUCUGAGAGGAUGAUCCCCCACACUGGUACUGAGACACGGACCAGACUCCUACGGGAGGCAGCAGUGAGGAAUAUUGGUCAAUGGGCGCAAGCCUGAACCAGCCAUCCCGCGUGAAGGACGACUGCCCUAUGGGUUGUAAACUUCUUUUAUGUGCCAAGAAUGUGAGCUACGUGUAGCUUUUUGACGGUAGCACAUGAAUAAGCAUCGGCUAACUCCGUGCCAGCAGCCGCGGUAAUACGGAGGAUGCGAGCGUUAUCCGGAUUCAUUGGGUUUAAAGGGUACGUAGGCGGUUCCUUAAGUCAGUGGUGAAAUCCUGCAGCUUAACUGUAGAACUGCCAUUGAUACUGAGGAACUUGAAUAUAGAUGAGGUAGGCGGAAUGUGUUGUGUAGCGGUGAAAUGCUUAGAUAUAACACAGAACACCAAUUGCGAAGGCAGCUUACUAGACUAUUAUUGACGCUGAGGUACGAAAGCGUGGGGAGCGAACAGGAUUAGAUACCCUGGUAGUCCACGCCGUAAACGAUGUUCACUCGCUGUAUGCAAUACACCGUAUGCGGCCAAGCGAAAGCAUUAAGUGAACCACCUGGGGAGUACGAUCGCAAGAUUGAAACUCAAAGGAAUUGACGGGGGCCCGCACAAGCGGAGGAACAUGUGGUUUAAUUCGAUGAUACGCGAGGAACCUUACCUGGGCUUAAAUGUAGUUUGAUUUUACUGGAAACGGUUUCCCUUCGGGGCAAAUUACAAGGUGCUGCAUGGUUGUCGUCAGCUCGUGCCGUGAGGUGUCGGGUUAAGUCCCAUAACGAGCGCAACCCUUAUCCUUAGUUGCCAGCGGGUCAUGCCGGGGACUCUAAGGAGACUGCCAGUGUAAACUGUGAGGAAGGUGGGGAUGACGUCAAAUCAGCACGGCCCUUAUGUCCAGGGCUACACACGUGUUACAAUGGCCGAUACAAAGGGCAGCUACCAGGUGACUGGAUGCUAAUCUCUAAAGUCGGUCUCAGUUCGGAUCGAAGUCUGCAACUCGACUUCGUGAAGUUGGAUUCGCUAGUAAUCGUAUAUCAGCAAUGAUACGGUGAAUACGUUCCCGGGCCUUGUACACACCGCCCGUCAAACCAUGGAAGCUGGGGGUACCUGAAGUUCGUAACCGUAAGGAGCGGCCUAGGGUAAAUCUAGUAACUAGGGUUAAGUCGUAACAAGGU